UACGUAGGGGGCAAGCGUUAUCCGGAAUUACUGGGCGUAAAGCGCACGCAGGCGGUUCGCCAAGUUUCGAGUGACAGUUGUCGGCUCAACCGACAAAGGACUUCAAAAACUGGUGAACUUGAGGACGAGAGAGGAACAUGGAACUCCAGGUGUAGUAGUGAAAUGCGUAGAUAUCUGGAAGAACACCAAUGGCGAAGGCAAUGUUCUGGCUCGUUUCUGACGCUCAGGUGCGAAAGCCAGGGGAGCGAACGGG
rnacentral:rRNA from 1 species